GGGACACGUGGUAUCCUGUCUGAAUAUGGGGGGACCAUCCUCCAAGGCUAAAUACUCCUGACUGACCGAUAGUGAACCAGUACCGUGAGGGAAAGGCGAAAAGAACCCCGGCGAGGGGAGUGAAAAAGAACCUGAAACCGUGUACGUACAAGCAGUGGGAGCACGCUUAGGCGUGUGACUGCGUACCUUUUGUAUAAUGGGUCAGCGACUUAUAUUCUGUAGCAAGGUUAACCGAAUAGGGGAGCCGAAGGGAAACCGAGUCUUAACUGGGCGUUAAGUUGCAGGGUAUAGACCCGAAACCCGGUGAUCUAGCCAUGGGCAGGUUGAAGGUUGGGUAACACUAACUGGAGGACCGAACCGACUAAUGUUGAAAAAUUAGCGGAUGACUUGUGGCUGGGGGUGAAAGGCCAAUCAAACCGGGAGAUAGCUGGUUCUCCCCGAAAGCUAUUUAGGUAGCGCCUCGUGAAUUCAUCUCCGGGGGUAGAGCACUGUUUCGGCAAGGGGGUCAUCCCGACUUACCAACCCGAUGCAAACUGCGAAUACCGGAGAAUGUUAUCACGGGAGACACACGGCGGGUGCUAACGUCCGUCGUGAAGAGGGAAACAACCCAGACCGCCAGCUAAGGUCCCAAAGUCAUGGUUAAGUGGGAAACGAUGUGGGAAGGCCCAGACAGCCAGGAUGUUGGCUUAGAAGCAGCCAUCAUUUAAAGAAAGCGUAAUAGCUCACUGGUCGAGUCGGCCUGCGCGGAAGAUGUAACGGGGCUAAACCAUGCACCGAAGCUGCGGCAGCGACGCUGAUGCGUUGUUGGGUAGGGGAGCGUUCUGUAAGCCUGCGAAGGUGUGCUGUGAGGCAUGCUGGAGGUAUCAGAAGUGCGAAUGCUGACAUAAGUAACGAUAAAGCGGGUGAAAAGCCCGCUCGCCGGAAGACCAAGGGUUCCUGUCCAACGUUAAUCGGGGCAGGGUGAGUCGACCCCUAAGGCGAGGCCGAAAGGCGUAGUCGAUGGGAAACAGGUUAAUAUUCCUGUACUUGGUGUUACUGCGAAGGGGGGACGGAGAAGGCUAUGUUGGCCGGGCGACGGUUGUCCCGGUUUAAGCGUGUAGGCUGGUUUUCCAGGCAAAUCCGGAAAAUCAAGGCUGAGGCGUGAUGACGAGGCACUACGGUGCUGAAGCAACAAAUGCCCUGCUUCCAGGAAAAGCCUCUAAGCAUCAGGUAACAUCAAAUCGUACCCCAAACCGACACAGGUGGUCAGGUAGAGAAUACCAAGGCGCUUGAGAGAACUCGGGUGAAGGAACUAGGCAAAAUGGUGCCGUAACUUCGGGAGAAGGCACGCUGAUAUGUAGGUGAAGUCCCUCGCGGAUGGAGCUGAAAUCAGUCGAAGAUACCAGCUGGCUGCAACUGUUUAUUAAAAACACAGCACUGUGCAAACACGAAAGUGGACGUAUACGGUGUG
rnacentral:rRNA from 1 species